rnacentral:tRNA from 1 species
GGGGGUGUAGUGUAACCUGGCAUCACAGCUGGCUCCAGACCAGUUAACCUGGGUUCAAAGGCCGAACGCAGUGCGCAGAGUGCAGCGUUCGGCAGAAAGUCCCAGCACCCCCA